GAUGAAGAACGCAGCGAAAUGCGAUAAGUAAUGUGAAUUGCAGAAUUCCGUGAAUCAUCGAAUCUUUGAACGCACAUUGCGCCCCCUGGUAUUCCGGGGGGCAUGCCUGUCCGAGCGUCAUUGCAACCCUCAAGCGCGGCUUGUGUGUUGGGCUUCGUCCCCCCGUGGACGUGCCCGAAAGGCAGUGGCGGCGUCCCGAAUGGUGCCCGAGCGUAUGGGAACUCUCUUCCGCUCGAACCGGCCCAUUCGGCGCUGGUCGAACCCCAAUUUUUUUUUACCGGUUGACCUCGGAUCAGGUAGGGAUACCCGCUGAACUUAAGCAUAUCAAUAAGCGGA
rnacentral:misc_RNA from 1 species